rnacentral:rRNA from 1 species
UACGUAGGGUGCAAGCGUUGUUCGGAAUUAUUGGGCGUAAAGGGUGCGUAGGCGGGUCUUUAAGUCAGGGGUGAAAUCCUGGAGCUCAACUCCAGAACUGCCUUUGAUACUGAAGAUCUUGAGUUCGGGAGAGGUGAGUGGAACUGCGAGUGUAGAGGUGAAAUUCGUAGAUAUUCGCAAGAACACCAGUGGCGAAGGCGGCUCACUGGCCCGAUACUGACGCUGAGGCACGAAAGCGUGGGGAGCAAACAGG